AUUGUUGUGGCAGAUAGUGCGAAGAGUUUAAGUCUCUUUUAAGUUUUUACCUUCAAUA
rnacentral:tRNA from 1 species